UACGUAGGGGGCAAGCGUUUGUCCGGAAUCAUUGGGCGUAAAGAGCGUGUAGGCGGCCCGAUAAGUCCGCCGUGAAAGUCCAGGGCUCAACCCUGGAAUGCCGGUGGAAACUGUCGGGCUCGAGUCCGGAAGAGGCGAGUGGAAUUCCUGGUGUAGCGGUGAAAUGCGCAGAUAUCAGGAGGAACACCAAUGGCGAAGGCAGCUCGCUGGGACGGUACUGACGCUGAGACGCGAAAGCGUGGGGAGCAAACAGG
rnacentral:rRNA from 1 species